UGUCAAGGGAUGGGAAUCGAACCCACGACCUUCCGCUUACCGGGCAGAUGCCAUGACCACAAUAAAAUGACCACAUUUC